AUUGAACGCUGGCGGCAUGCCUUACACAUGCAAGUCGAACGGUAACAGGUCUUCGGAUGCUGCCGAGUGGCGAACGGGUGCGUAAUACAUCGGAACGUGCCCAGACGUGGGGGAUAACGAGGCGAAAGCUUUGCUAAUACCGCAUACGAUCUAAGGCUGACAGCAGGGGACCGCAAGGCCUUGUGCGUUUGGAGCGGCCGAUGGCAGAUUAGGUAGUUGGUGGGAUAAAAGCUUACCAAGCCGACGAUCUGUAGCUGGUCUGAGAGGACGACCAGCCACACUGGGACUGAGACAUGGCCCAGACUCCUACGGGAGGCAGCAGUGGGGAAUUUUGGACAAUGGGCGAAAGCCUGAUCCAGCAAUGCCGCGUGCAGGAUGAAGGCCUUCGGGUUGUAAACUGCUUUUGUACGGAACGAAAAGGCUCUGGCUAAUACCUGGGGCACAUGACGGUACCGUAAGAAUAAGCACCGGCUAACUACGUG
rnacentral:rRNA from 1 species